rnacentral:rRNA from 1 species
UACGGGGGGGGCAAGCGUUGUUCGGAAUUACUGGGCGUAAAGGGCUCGUAGGCUGCCAACUAAGUCAGACGUGAAAUCCCUCGGCUUAACCGGGGAACUGCGUCUGAUACUGGAUGGCUUGAGAUUGGGAGAGGGAUGCGGAAUUCCAGGUGUAGCGGUGAAAUGCGUAGAUAUCUGGAGGAACACCGGUGGCGAAGGCGGCAUCCUGGACCGGUAUUGACGCUGAGGCGCGAAAGCUAGGGGAGCAAACGGG